AGAACGAACGCUGGCGGCAUGCCUAAUACAUGCAAGUCGAACGAACUCUUCGGAGUUAGUGGCGCACGGGUGCGUAACGCGUGGGAAUCUGCCCCUUGGUCCGGAAUAACAGUUGGAAACGACUGCUAAUACCGGAUGAUGACGAAAGUCCAAAGAUUUAUCGCCCAGGGAUGAGCCCGCGUAGGAUUAGCUAGUUGGUGAGGUAAAGGCUCACCAAGGCGACGAUCCUUAGCUGGUCUGAGAGGAUGAUCAGCCACACUGGGACUGACGACGACGGCCCAGACUCCGUACGGGACGGCA
rnacentral:rRNA from 1 species